AUGUACUGGAAAUUAGGGAAUAAGCUGCAGAACAAAAUCCUAUAUAUUUUAGAACGAGACACUGCACAUGAUCUUCUGAUAUUAAAACCAUACAGGAUGGGUGUGCAACUGAUAACCAGUGACAGACAGAAGUCUGAACUACUCCUUUCUAGGUCUGUAUCUCUGCAUCAUUUGCUUGCCAACCCAAUUUCCCAUUGCUCUUGCCUCUUUCUUUAUCACCCCUGCAACAUCUGCUUGCCUUUAAUUUUUUCUUUCCCUCUGCUGUUGUUCCAUAGCUUGAAAUGCAUUAAGUAAAAGGUAGCUAAGGGGACUGGUAACAGCCUGCAAAACUCUGAAUUUCCAGGUCUCUGGCUAGGAUCCAGGCAGAUUAGUGGCAACUGAAAGUUGUUACUACCUCGUGUCUGCUCAGUGACCUUGCUGACAUUAAUUGCUGGACUGGCCACAGCAGCAAUCUCAGCAGAGACACCUCCCACUCUCUGUGCUGAAAUCAGGCCAUCCUCUCCCCUGCAGAGUGAAGGCUGUGGCAGUUUGCAAUGCUGGGGCAGACAUCUUCAUCUUCCUCACCCCAUUAACUAUGUUAAACUGCCAAAUUAUUCUUAUUUUCCAACCAACACCCAGGUAGCCUGAAAGCUGAGGUGGUGCUGUUAUGUGUUUAAGUACUCUGCAAGUGACUUAGCAAUAAGUAUUGCUGCAAUCGUAUGCAUAUAAAGCACCAUGCACUUCCAGUAACAUAGCCCAGGGUUUAUUGGAGUGACAAAUGUUAUCUUGCUGCCUAGAUGAGCAGUUAGUUUGAUACACCCAGGCAAAAAGAAAGUGAAGAAAAACUCUCAGUGGCUCAUGCUGCAGCUUACCUGCAGACUGAUCAUAGCUGCUUCCAGGAAGUACCUCCUUCUUCACAGCUAUUUUCACUUUUCUUGCUCUAUUCUCUGAUUUGUGACCUGCCCAGACCAGGAAUUAGUUCAUCCUCAAGUCACGUUUUUUCUCAAUUCCUAAGAUAGAAACAGCAUAGUUUGCCUUUUUUGCUUAUUUGUUUGUUUGUUUGGCUGUUCUUUCUUACUCUUCUUUUCCAGGGAUGCUUGCAGCCUACCUCGACAUUUUGCACUGCUUGGGAAUGGCAAUAUAAGGUUAUAUCAGAUUAACCAGGAUUUAAACGUCUUUCUGUUUAAACCCACAAAUCACAGUUUAGCUGAGUUUUAUUCCCAGAAUAAUGUCAUCUAAGUCAUCUUGUUUAAAUCUUUCAUAUUCCUUGUCUUAGGAUGUUAAAUUCUUAUUAAAAUUAAAUUAAUAUACUUAGGAAUGGUUCCUGUAAAAGACUGAGUCACCAAUACUCAAAUUUAGGUAACUAAAACUGAACUUUCAGUGCUGGAAACCCAUGCCUCAUUGAUGUCUAGCCUUCAUGAAGGGAGCCCAGACUCUUAUUUAAAACUCCAUCGGUUCACAUCACUGGUGGAACAUGCUUCUGAACUGGGUGUGUGAGCUGACACAUUGGCUAGAGGCAAGAAACAUUUAAGUCUCCAUUCUGGGUGACAAUCUGAUGAAUGGUGCUUCUGCAGCUUUGAGUCACAGGAAGAGACACAGGGCUCAGUCCCCAUCUCAUACUCCCCACCAGCAGGUCUAAAGUGGAGAAGGUAAGUACCUUACAAAGUGAAGGAACAUCUCAUGCUCCUGAUUAAAAUCUAGGAUAAAUCUUUUCCUCAGACUUUCACCAGGCUGUCAAGCCAAACUGAGCAGAUCCAUUCCUUUACCAUAACAUCUCUGCGUUCCUCAGUGCUCCCACAGUAGAGGCACGCUUUUAAACUUAAGUCAUCAAAUACAGGUGCCCAGAUCCUCUUUGUAUUUGCCAGGGGACAAUUCAGAGUGCAUGAAUAAGGAACCUUUGUCUUUCCCUUGGAUAAACAAAGCUCUUUAACUUGAACACAGAUGUACUGGCAUAGACCAAAGAUUCAGCUAAGCUACCACUCUCUCUUUUAUGUAGCCAACAGCAGAUGUUUGGGGAAAAACAGAAGAGUACAGCAUUUAUAGCUAAAUCUUCUUCAUUAGUCACUUUUUCAGCUAUCACUGAUAUGCAUCCCAGGGUCUUCCUGAUGUGUCUGUGGUUGGUAGAAAUUCAGAGAGCCCACUAAUUUGCCAGCCUUUGAACCCAGGUAAGCAUUCAGCGUCCACAAAAACAGAGACCAAGAUUAAUAAAGUUUAACUAUGAUACA
rnacentral:lncRNA from 1 species